GAUUCUGCCCUACGGGGAAGGAUGAGAAGCUUCGACCAAGGUUCGACUCGAGCGUCAGCGAGAGAACGUUGCCGCAGGCAACGGCCCGAAGGGCGAGGAGCGAUAGCGACGAGUUAUCCUUCCCCCACCACCA
rnacentral:sRNA from 1 species